rnacentral:lncRNA from 1 species
CUACCUUUCAUGGUGUCCCUACUACACCCUAUCCAUAGCUGUGUAAAUAUUCUCUUUAUUAGUAUUUGCUCAAAUUAGCCAAUGGAGAUGUGUCAUCUGGUCCCUACAGAGAUGCUAACUACUACAUAAGCUGAGAGGAAUGAUCUAAUAAUUGAUGAUGCUAAAGAACUAGAGGGUAAUUAGAGGAGCAAAGUCCUUGAGAAGAUGCCAUAGAAUGGGAUGCAGAACACAAAUGGAAGGAUUGGCCUUUCGUGGGAGCACUGCAAUAGGAGAAAAGGCAGAAGUUGUAGCUUCAGAUGAAGACUGGCUGAAAGAUCUGGUGGUGAGAAGAUGGGGAAGUUCAAGUCUGCAGAGGUGAGGUUGAAAACUGAGAAUGAGGCAUGUUGGGGGUAUAGGAUCUUUUAAGGGAGAUGUAAUGUGGUCUUUGUGAAGCAGAGAAGAGCCAAAGCAUGUUGGCAAGCAAACCAUAAAUGCAGGUGAAUGUUCAGUGCUCUUUGAGAUUUGUGUUCUUGAUUUUGAUGGAGACCAAUUGGUAGAAAGGAAAGUUUUUUCUCCUAGACUCAGAUUAAACAGAUAGUUGGGCUUAACCAGGGUCAGAGUUCAACUAAACUAGUCUGAUAGUAGGAAAGAGAGAUGAGGAAGUUAUGUUGUUUUCAAGGGAUUGCAAAUAAUAAUAUACCACAGAAACUAACCCGGAUAUGGUGGAAAGUGAGGACCCAGUAUUACAUAAGGAUAUCAUAUAACAGGUAUACGUGCUUGCAAUAGGAUAGAGAAAGAAAUAAUAAAAGUCUGCCCUACAACAUAAGGAUUUAAUAUAGAUUUUCUUGUGUGAGAAUAAAAAUAAUGAACAAGUUCAUUUUAUCUUCUAACAUAGGAAAGAAAGAUGUGAAAGCAGAUAAACCCAUAUGUAUGUAUUGAUCUUAUGUGUUUGAAUAGAAAUAUGCUAAGAAGCAAAUGACUGAAAUAGAAGGAAAAACUGUGUAUUUCAGCUUUUUGAUUCCAUCCAACUCCAAAGAAACAAAGACGAACCCCCAUUUGGGGAGAGGAAAUGUCCUCCUCCCCUACAACGCGCAAUGAGAUCUUCUCUACUUCUAGCAACUGAAUCCUGAAGUCACGCCUUCAUUAGUUCUCAUGACAGGCCUUUUAUCUUCUCAGAGUUCAGUGCUAAAGACCCAUGCCCAAUUCAGCUGAAGACUUGCGGUUUCACUCUGGAGAGACAUUUUGUGCUAAGGAUUACUAGACUCAGUGGUACUAGAGAAAUUGUAUUGAAAGGAGGGGGACUAAAGAAAAUGAGAUGUCAGCGACAGGCUUCGUUCACCCUAGCAGAUGUGGAGGAUUUCUCUCUAACGAUCCAAGAGAAAAGCCACACAGCUACUAGCUGUUUAGGGGACCACAACAAAACGUCCCAUCUGGAUCACCCAUCGCACAGUGAAGCCUACCAAUUGGGAAGUCCAACUCAC